GGCCCCAUAGCUCAGCUGGAUAGAGCAACAGAUUUCUAAUCUGUAGGUCGCAGGUUCGAGUCCUGCUGGGGUCACCA
rnacentral:tRNA from 1 species